rnacentral:rRNA from 1 species
AUUGAACGCUGGCGGCAUGCUUUACACAUGCAGGUCGAACGGCAGCGCGGGCUUCGGCCUGGCGGCGAGUGGCGAACGGGUGAGUAAUACAUCGGAACGUGCCCAGUAGUGGGGGAUAGCUCGGCGAAAGGCGGACUAAUACCGCAUACGACCUGAGGGUGAAAGCGGGAGAUCUUCGGACCUCGCGCUAUCGGAGCGGCCGAUGGCAGAUUAGCUAGUUGGUGGGGUAAAGGCCUACCAAGGCGACGAUCUGUAGCUGGUCUGAGAGGACGACCAGCCACACUGGGACUGAGACACGGCCCAGACUCCUACGGGAGGCAGCAGUGGGGAAUUUUGGACAAUGGGCGAAAGCCUGAUCCAGCAAUGCCGCGUGUGUGAUGAAGGCCUUCGGGUUGUAAAGCACUUUUGGCGGGAACGAAAAGGACUGUGCCAAUACCACGGUUCGAUGACGGUACCCGCAGAAUAAGCACCGGCUAACUACGUG